GACAGCAGUCGCCACGGUAAUACGUAGGGUGCAAGCGUUAAUCGGAAUUACUGGGCGUAAAGCGUGCGCAGGCGGUUAUAUAAGACAGAUGUGAAAUCCCCGGGCUCAACCUGGGAACUGCAUUUGUGACUGUAUAGCUAGAGUACGGCAGAGGGGGAUGGAAUUCCGCGUGUAGCAGUGAAAUGCGUAGAUAUGCGGAGGAACACCGAUGGCGAAGGCAAUCCCCUGGGCCUGUACUGACGCUCAUGCACGAAAGCGUGGGGAGCAAACAGGAUUAGAUACCCCGGUAGUCCCUGUCUCUUAUAC
rnacentral:rRNA from 1 species